AUGCAUGUCUAAGUACACGCCAGAUUAUAUGGUGAAACUGCGAAUGGCUCAUUAAAUCAGUUAUGGUUCCUUAGAUCGUACAAUCCUACUUGGAUAACCGUGGCAAUUCUAGAGCUAAUACAUGCGUCAAAGCUCCGACCUUCGGGGAAGAGCGCUUUUGUUAGUACAAGACCAACCCGACCUCGGUCGGCGAAGUUUGUGUUGACUCUGAACAACUUUGUGCUGAUCGCACGGCCUAGCGCCGGCGAUGUAUCUUUCGAAUGUCUGCCCUAUCAACUGUCGAUGGUACGUGCUAUGCCUACCAUGGUUGUAACGGGUAACGGGGAAUCAGGGUUCGAUUCCGGAGAGGGAGCAUGAGAAACGGCUACCACA
rnacentral:rRNA from 1 species